ACACACAUAACACACACACACACACACACACACACACACACACACACACACACACACACACACACACACACACACACACACACACACACACACACACACACACAGAGGUAUGAAAGCAAUUUUCUAUUUAAAUAAACACACGCAGGAUACACAUACUUUUUCACUCUCCUCUGCACUCAAGUGGCUCGUGCAGACACUUACUAAAUUAAAACGUAGCCAUAAGCCAUAAGCCCUCACUGUUCUGCCCUCAGAGGUAGCUGCACUGAUCCAGUGUGUAACCAGUUAGCCACUAGACAGAUUCCGGUCACGUGCAUGAUAGCUUUCACAGCUGCUGAGCCAGUGACCUACUUGCCCUUCAUCUGACUGUCUGCCCAUCUACCUUUGUCCAUUGGAUAGUGGGACACCAGAGGAGAGAUCCAUAUGAGUUUGCAUAGGAUAGAUGUCGGUAGAUGUAGAUGUGUAUCUGAAUGGGACUACACAGGUACAUGCAUGUUUGUAUAGGAGUGCAAAGAUAAAUGGGCAUCUGCAUAGGAGUAUAGACCACAGAUACAUACAUGUAUGUUUGAAUAGGACUGUAGAGAUACAUGUACGUAUGUUUGUAUAGCACUGUAGAGAUACACACACACGUUUGAAUAGGACUAUGCGGAUACAUACAUGAUGGCAUGGGACUGCUCAGAGUGUAUUUGCAUAGGACUACAUGCUUGUUUGCAUAGGACUGUGCCAAUGAUGUGUAGACGCAACCAGUGAGAAUAUUCAGCUCACGUGAUUCUAUUGUAGUCUAGUGCACUUCUGCAUGUGCACUUGCAUAGGCGCCAGUGACGCUGGGGACAUGCCCCCACCACUUUUGUCCCCACCACUUUUGAAAACUGAAAAUAAAAUGAACUGAAGGCUUCAAAUCAAUACACUUGAAUGAAAGGACAUGAGACAGAAUCAGAAGAGAGGACAUGAGCAGAGGUGUAAAAAGUACUGAAAUAUUGUACUCAAGUAAAAGUACCUUUACUUUGAUUACAUUUUACUUAAGUACAAGAAUCAGAAGAGAGGACAUGAGACAGAUGAGGAGAGAGGACAUGAGACAGAAUCAGAAGAGAGGAGGACAUGAGACAGAGGAGGAGAGAGGAGGAAAUAAGACAGAUGGGGAGAGAGGAGGAAUGAGACAGAUGAGGAGAGAGGACAUGACACAGAAUCAGAAGAGAGAACAUGAGACAGAUGGGGAGAGAGGACAUGACACAGAAUCAGGAGAGAGGACAUGAGACAGAUGGGGAGAGAGGACAUGAGAAAGAUGAGGAGAGAGGAGGACAUGAGACAGAUAAGGAGAGAGGACAUGAGACAGAUGGGGAGAGAGGACAUGACACAGAAUCAGGAGAGAGGACAUGAGACAGAUGGGGAGAGAGGACAUGACACAGAAUCAGGAGAGAGGACAUGAGACAGAAUCAGGAGAGAGGACAUGAGACAGAUGAGGAGCAAGGAGGACAAGAAACAGAAUCGGAAGAGUUAUUACACUGACCCCCC
ensembl:lncRNA